rnacentral:rRNA from 1 species
UACAGAGGUCCCGAGCGUUGUUCGGAUUCAUUGGGCGUAAAGGGUGCGUAGGCGGCGGGGUAAGUUUGAUGUGAAAUCCCGGGGCUCAACCCUGGAAUUGCAUUGAAUACUACCUUGCUAGAGUACCGGAGAGGAAACUGGAAUUUACGGUGUAGCAGUGAAAUGCGUAGAGAUCGUAAGGAAGACCAGUGGCGAAGGCAGCUCGCUGGGACGUGACUGACGCUGAGACGCGAAAGCGUGGGGAGCAAACAGG